GACGAACGCUGGCGGCGUGCUUAACACAUGCAAGUCGAACGGAGUUGCAGGAGAGCUUGCUCGAAUGUAACUUAGUGGCGAACGGGUGAGUAACGCGUGAGCAACCUGUCUCAUACAGGGGGAUAACACUUGGAAACAGGUGCUAAUACCGCAUAAGACCACAGUGCCGCAUGACACAGGGGUCAAAGAAAUUCGGUAUGAGGUGGGCUCGCGUCUGAUUAGAUAGUUGGUGAGGUAACGGCUCACCAAGUCGACGAUCAGUAGCCGACCUGAGAGGGUGAUCGGCCACAUUGGGACUGAGACACGGCCCAGACUCCUACGGGAGGCAGCAGUGGGGAAUAUUGCGCAAUGGGGGCAACCCUGACGCAGCAACGCCGCGUGAAGGAUGAAGGUCUUCGGAUUGUAAACUUCUGUUCUGAGGGACGAACAAGGACGGUACCUCAGGAGGAAGCCACGGCUAACUACGUGCCAGCAGCCGCGGU
rnacentral:rRNA from 1 species